rnacentral:lncRNA from 10 species
GCGCUGCCCACCCACCACACCGCUAGCGCCUCUGAACCUCGCCAGGCACGUCCGGUUCUGCGGCCCCCACUCCGCCCCCGCCUGCCGGGAGCCGCGCAGUUACAAAGUGCCGGGAGCCGUGCAGGGCCAGUGAACCCCUCGCUGAGACUCAGUUUGCUGCCAUCACAAGUGCUCUGAGAAUCCUGGAGAGGGAGGAUAUUGGAGACAAACGGGACUGCUGCCCGCCUUUUAGGCGACCGUUGGAGGCUGCUCUGUGCCGGACACAGGCAGGGAGGUGGAGGCCAGAUACAAGAAAACCACAGUACCAGUAAAUGACAAAGGCUGGAUCUUAACCCAAGUCCUCCGACUCUGAAGGCCAUACCCAACAGGUCCCAUUUUAUUUGUUUUACUUUUUUUUAAUUGAAGAAAAAAAAACUAGCAUUCCCCUACAGUGCCCCCCACCUGGUGGGGACAUCUUGGGUUGGCAAGGCCACCACUUUCAAGAGUAGAAGUGUUUUUCAGCAGGAGGAGUUGGCUGCACCAAAGGAGCUCAGGAGAAGCUGGAGUCUCAGGCCCAGCAGGAACAGCCAGAGGUUUUGCAGCUUUGCCCAGCGGCUGGGUUCGCCGAAGGGUCUCCCUGGGGGUUCCCAGCAUGAGCCGAAGCCACCCUCCCCUGUGGGAUCUGUGAGGCCAGGCAUUGGGCCUCUUUAGGCCUCAGUUUCCUCCCCUGUCAUAGGCAACUGACAGUCCCUCUGGAGCGCCACUGGGGCUGCAGAGGGAGGCCGGAGAGAUGGUGCCCCCCCUCCUCCCCGCCACCCCCACACACAGCCCUCAGCAGGAUGGUGGCUGCCUGGCCGAUUGCUUUUGCAUUUGCAGCAGAGCGGGGGAGUGAGGCCAAGCUGAGUGCCCCCUCCCCCUGCCCAGCCAGCUCAGACCCAGGCGGUGGAGCAGGAAGGCUCUGGGGAAAACAGUGUGAGUCACCGGGCGGCCAGAGUGUGUCCUUCCCUGCUAGCGCACUACACGGCAGGUUUCAUAGCUUGACAGCAAAGUGUUUGAAAACGAAGAGCAGGAAUUCCGCGGUUCCUGCCCGGCCUCGCCAUCCAGCUGGGAGAAGAGCAUGGUCAUUUC